rnacentral:rRNA from 1 species
UACGUAGGGGGCAAGCGUUGUCCGGAAUCAUUGGGCGUAAAGAGCGUGUAGGCGGCCUGUUGCGUCCGCUGUGAAAGCCCGGGGCUUAACCCCGGGUCGGCAGUGGAUACGGGCAGGCUAGAGGUAGGUAGGGGAGAAUGGAAUUCCCGGUGUAGCGGUGAAAUGCGCAGAUAUCGGGAGGAAUACCAGUGGCGAAGGCGGCUUUCUGGGUUACCACUGACGCUGAGGAGCGAAAGCGUGGGGAGCGAACGGG